rnacentral:rRNA from 1 species
ACGGUGAAGCCAAGCUUGCUUGGUGGAUCAGUGGCGAACGGGUGAGUAACACGUGAGCAACCUGCCCUGGACUCUGGGAUAAGCGCUGGAAACGGCGUCUAAUACUGGAUAUGAGACGUGAUCGCAUGGUCGUGUUUGGAAAGAUUUUUCGGUCUGGGAUGGGCUCGCGGCCUAUCAGCUUGUUGGUGAGGUAAUGGCUCACCAAGGCGUCSACGGGUAGCCGGCCUGAGAGGGUGACCGGCCACACUGGGACUGAGACACGGCCCAGACUCCUACGGGAGGCAGCAGUGGGGAAUAUUGCACAAUGGGCGAAAGCCUGAUGCAGCAACGCCGCGUGAGGGAUGACGGCCUUCGGGUUGUAAACCUCUUUUAGCAGGGAAGAAGCGAAAGUGACGGUACCUGCAGAAAAAGCGCCGGCUAACUACGUGCCAGCAGCCGCGGUAAUACGUAGGGCGCAAGCGUUAUCCGGAAUUAUUGGGCGUAAAGAGCUCGUAGGCGGUUUGUCGCGUCUGCUGUGAAAUCCCGAGGCUCAACCUCGGGCCUGCAGUGGGUACGGGCAGACUAGAGUGCGGUAGGGGAGAUUGGAAUUCCUGGUGUAGCGGUGGAAUGCGCAGAUAUCAGGAGGAACACCGAUGGCGAAGGCAGAUCUCUGGGCCGUAACUGACGCUGAGGAGCGAAAGGGUGGGGAGCAAACAGGCUUAGAUACCCUGGUAGUCCACCCCGUAAACGUUGGGAACUAGUUGUGGGGACCAUUCCACGGUUUCCGUGACGCAGCUAACGCAUUAAGUUCCCCGCCUGGGGAGUACGGCCGCAAGGCUAAAACUCAMAGGAAKUUGACGGGGACCCGCWCAAGCGGCGGAGCAUGCGGAUUAAUUCGAUGCWWCGCGAAGAACCUUACCAAGGCUUGACAUAUACKAKAACGGGCCMGAAAUGGUCACUCUUUGGAYACUCGUAAACAUGUGGUGGCAUGGUUGUCGUCAKCUCGUGUYSUGAGAUGUUGGGKUWAGUCCCGCAACGAGCGCAACCCUCGWUCYAUGUGGCCAGCSCGUAAUGMUGGCAACYAWUGGGAUAMUUGCMGGRGKCACGCUCSGAGGAAGGURGGGAUGACGUSAAUCAUCAUGACYCGUACGGCUCGSCUCACGCRKGCUUCACKGCGUMCAAGGCUGCAWCCGUGMGGUGACGAAUCGAAGCCGAUCAAUCGGAAUGAGUCGCAUCAKGACCACYUAGYGAGA